rnacentral:rRNA from 1 species
GAUGUGCCCAGAUGGGAUUAGCUAGUAGGUGGUAACGGCUCACCUAGGCACGAUCCUAGCUGGUCUGAGAGAUGACCAGCCACACUGGAACUGAGACACGGUCCAGACUCCUACGGAGGCAGCAGUGGGAUAUUGCACAAUGGGCGCAAGCCUUGCAGCCAUGCCGCGUGUAUGAAGAAGGCCUUCGGGUUGUAAAGUACUAUCAGCGAGGAAGAGUAAAGUUAAACCUGCUCAGUCGUUACCCGAGAAGAAGCACCGGCUAACUCCGUGCCAGCAGCCGCGGUAAUACGGAGGGUGCAAGCGUAAUCAAUUACUGGGCGUAAAGCGCACGCAGGCGGUGUUAAGUCAGAUUGAAAUCCGGCUCAACCUGGGAACUGCAUCUGAUACUGGCAAGCUUGAGUCUCGUAGAGGGGUAG